CAGCCACAAGGGCUAGAAACGUCCCUUUUCUUUAACAGCAAAGGCAGAAAUCCUCACAGAUCACUUGAGUCCAGGACCUGGGCUCUCGGGAAACCGGUCACUCUGACAAGGCUCGUGACAGGGCCGUGAGAGCUGGGGCACUGCUGUCACUGCUGCUUCUGAGGCCGGGGACUGUCCAGGAGGCUCGCAGGCUGCACACGAUGGUGAUGGAGUUGCAGGCCUCACAGGAGACUGUUUCAUCCCAAACAGCAAGAGAACAAACUGAGCCGCCCAAGGGAGACCUGGGGUCUGCCCCACGGUCAAAGGCCCGGGAAUCUGUGUGGAGAUGUGCAACGGAGACGAGUCCUGUCCUCCAGGGCAAAAGUGCUGCAGUAACGGGUGUGGCCACGUCUGCAUGGGAGUGAUAACCAGAGGGAACCCCGGCUCUUGUCCACGGCCCAGUGUCCUGAGCGGCUGUGCGGUCAGGUGCCGUUCGGAUGUGCAGUGCUUCCGGACGCACAAGUGCUGCCGCACCAAGUGUGGUGGAUACGUCUGCACAAGAGCAGUCUGA